ensembl:lncRNA
AUGUGGUCAGGGCCAGGCUAAAGGGAGAGCUAGAGAGGAAGGGAUGUAGCUCUCCCCACUUAGAACCAAGCGUCUCCUGCACCAAUAAUGUGAGAACUCGGAAGAAAGCCUCAAUUUCUGCUCCUGUAAGAUGGUUUUCCAGUCUUCAGCACUUGGCUGUUUCCUGCAAUCUGUCAAUGUGCUUCUUACAAUCUGACACCCAGAAGACAGCACCAGAGGUGCUGAGGAUGGAACCCAGUGCCCGUGCACGCCAGGCUCUGCCACUGCCUUACAAACUCUGUCCAGCCAACCCAACAAUGAUGCUAUUUCUUUACAUCUGAGGAAGCCAGCAAUUAGCCUGAGUAGAUCCACGUAGAUGCUGCCAGUGGGGCCUUCCUGUCUAGGAUGCCAGUGGCUCUGCUUCAGGAACUGCUUGUGCUGUACUCUACCUGUAGCAAGUCUUCAUCCCCCUGAAAACAAUUAGAAGCUAUCGAGGAUGGUGAACACAGCAGGUAAUCAAACUGGGUGAUUAUGUGGGUUUUUUCCCCUAACAAUGUUUGAC